CGCACGGGUGAGUAACACGUAUCCAACCUGCCGUCUACUCUUGGACAGCCUUCUGAAAGGAAGAUUAAUACAAGAUGGCAUCAUGAGUCCACAUGUUCACAUGAUUAAAGGUAUUCCGGUAGACGAUGGGGAUGCGUUCCAUUAGAUAGUAGGCGGGGUAACGGCCCACCUAGUCUUCGAUGGGUAGGGGUUCUGAGAGGAAGGUCCCCCACAUUGGAACUGAGACACGGUCCAA
rnacentral:rRNA from 1 species